rnacentral:rRNA from 1 species
UGGGGAAUAUUGCACAAUGGGCGCAAGCCUGAUGCAGCCAUGCCGCGUGUAUGAAGAAGGCCUUCGGGUUGUAAAGUACUUUCAGCGGGGAGGAAGGGAGUAAAGUUAAUACCUUUGCUCAUUGACGUUACCCGCAGAAGAAGCACCGGCUAACUCCGUGCCAGCAGCCGCGGUAAUACUGAGGGUGCAAGCGUUAAUCGGAAUUACUGGGCGUAAAGCGCACGCAGGCGGUUUGUUAAGUCAGAUGUGAAAUCCUCGGGCUCAACCUGGGAACUGCAUCUGAUACUGGCAAGCUUGAGUCUCGUAGAGGGGGGUAGAAUUCCAGGUGUCGCGGUGAAAUGCGUAGAGAUCUGGAGGAAUACCGGUGGCGAAGGCGGCCCCCUGGACGAAGACUGACGCUCAGGUGCGAAAGCGUGGGGAGCAAACAGG